rnacentral:lncRNA from 1 species
GGAGGGAAAACAAUUCUUUCUUUCUAAACUUCAGUAUAAUCAUUCUAUAUUUACAAUGGCUGUGUAGAAAUUAAAUAAGGAAACUAAAUUAAUACAUACCAUGAUUGUGUAGGAAGAAUCAUGGCAGAUCGCGGAGGGCGCCGGAGCCGGUGGUACGGACUGAUCGACAGCGGCGGAGCUCGGGGCGGAGGCGCGCGUUCGAGCAACGAGAGGAACUUCGGCGAAUUCUACGAAAAACAGAAAAGAGGGGAAAUGGGAAACCCCCAAAUCUGCAGAUACAAAAAGAGGGCUUCUGUGAAUUCUUCUUCUUUCUUCCUGCGAUUGUGAGGGGCCGCAGGUUCUGGUCGGAUCAAAAGGUGGAAUCAACUAAUCCCUGUGAACAAUCGCGAUGGCAGGCGUUAGUGGAGCAGAACAACAUUAGGCCUCGAUCUCACGAAAGGCGGAUUGGUAGUCAUGCACCUGCUUUGAGGCGACAGUGGUGGACGUUACGGUGGCGACUGCACUCGACGCCGCCAUGGUUGCGGCGACAGUAUUGAGAGAAGGAGUCGGCGGUGGCGAAUCCAUGGCCGAGUGAGAGAUAGCAAGAGGUGGGGAUUGUGUGAUCAUGAGCAAGAAUGAAAAAGAUAGAUCUGAAAUUCGAUGGAAGAACCGAUGAAUUUGGGAGAGAAGAGAUCUGGGAGAGAACCGAUUACUCAGACAUGGAAGAAAUGAUUUCUUUUGUAUUUUAAAGAUAUCUUAAAUAAAAUAACUUAACUAAAUAAUAAUAAUUGAUGUGGAAUUAUAUUGCCACGUCAGCGAUUGAGAAUUGAGGUAGAGGCUCUAGAAUUGCAGGGAUUUUAAAUUCUGAAUUCUUAGAUAGGCCACGUAGGACCCCGGAUUAAGGAGAGAGCAGAAUUCCUUAAUCGUAUUAUAUAUUGAUGCUAUGUCUACUAGAGCCUCUGUAGGUUAUUUUGCGCGGGUG